rnacentral:rRNA from 1 species
ACUUUAAGUUUGAAUCCCCGAAACUAGGUGAGCUACUUCGAAACAGUUUUAUGAACGAACCCGUCUCUGUCGCAAAAGAGUGGGAUGAUUUCUAAGUAGAGGCGACAAACCUACCGCACCUGGAGAUAGCUGGUUACUCAAGAAAAGAAUUUAAGUUCAACCUAAAGUUUUUUAAUUACACAAAACAAAACAUAAGACUUUAGAGCUACUCAAGUAAGGCACAGCUUACUUGAAUAAGGAUACAACCUACAACACAGGGUAAUACUCGUAAACAAGUAAUCAGUGGGCCUAAGAGCAGCCACCUACAAAAAGCGUUAAAGCUUAAUACUUACCUUAUACUAAUAUUAUUAUCACCCAAGAACCCUUCAUCAAUAUUGAGUAACUCCAUAAACCUAUGGAAAUUAUUAUGCUAGAACUAGUAACAAGAAUUAGACUUUCUCCUAAAUGUAAGCCUAAGCCACAAUAGACAAACUACCGGCAAUUAACGCAAAUGAGAGUAUUAUAAUAACCUUAACAAGAAAAUCCUAUACUUACACAACGUCACCCUUACACUAGAACAUUUAAGGAAAGAUUAAAAGA